rnacentral:rRNA from 1 species
AUGAACGCUAGCUACAGGCUUAACACAUGCAAGUCGAGGGGCAGCAUGGUCUUAGCUUGCUAAGGCCGAUGGCGACCGGCGCACGGGUGAGUAACACGUAUCCAACCUGCCGUCUACUCUUGGACAGCCUUCCUGAAAGGAAGAUUAAUACAAGAUGGCAUCAUGAGUCCGCAUGUUCACAUGAUUAAAGGUAUCCGGUAGACGAUGGGGAUGCGUUCCAUUAGAUAGUAGGCGGGGUAACGGCCCACCUAGUCUUCGAUGGAUAGGGGUUCUGAGAGGAAGGUCCCCCACAUUGGAACUGAGACACGGUCCAAACUCCUACGGGAGGCAGCAGUGAGGAAUAUUGGUCAAUGGGCGAGAGCCUGAACCAGCCAAGUAGCGUGAAGGAUGACUGCCCUAUGGGUUGUAAACUUCUUUAUAAAGGAAUAAAGUCGGGUAUGGAUACCCGUUUGCAUGUACUUAUGAAUAAGGAUCGGCUAACUCCGUG